rnacentral:lncRNA from 1 species
UGUGCUGGUAUGCUUAUAGAAGUACGGAGGCCUCCGUAUUUUCAAGUCGUUUUCGAUGUUCGGACUUUCGAAUCGACGAUCGGCUCCGUUAGAGUUGAUCUAGAGUAUUUGAAGUACCUAGAAAAUAAAUUUUGCGAUUUUUCGAUAUCAUUUGCCUAGUGAUCAAAACGGCUCAAAAUCAAUAAUUUUAACGGCCGUGGUGAGCCGGUUGCAUGUUUAACGGUGUAGAAAUAUCCAAAUCAGAUGAAAUUUUGAUAGAAAAUUCUUUAUACCAUAUAAAACAAGAUCAAUAACUUUGGUCUAAAAUUUUAAUGUUAUAUCAUCAUAUUUUGUAAGAUUUUUAUUUUCAGCCGUUGAUUUUGAGCCACCUCGAUCACUUGGCAAAUAAUAUCGAAAAAUCGUUAAAUUUAUUUUCUAGAUACUUCAAAUACUCUAAAUCAAAUCUAACGGAGUCGAUCGUCGAUUCGAAAGUCUGAACAUCGAAAACAAAGUGGAAGCACGGAGCCCUCCGUGCUUCCAUAAGCAUCCUAGCGGCACUCUCUCUCUCUCUCUCUCUCUCUCUCUCUCUCUCUCUCUCUCUCUCUCUCUCUCUCUCUCUCUCUCUCUCUCUCUCUCUCUCUCUCUCUCUCUCUCUCUCUCUCUCUCUCUCUCUCUCUCUCUCUCUCUCUCUCUCUCUCUCUCUAUAUAUAUAUAUAUAUAAUUGAGCUCCUAUAUUUUUAAAAGUAUCUAAGUCAUUAGUGCUCGUAAAUUUUUGGCUCUUGGAUUAAGAGAUGUACGGUUAGGAUAAUGUGGGCCCCCCUAGGGUUGAGUGGGUGGUUGGUUGAAUAGUAUAAUCUAACGGGUAAAAAUGAUCAAAGGCAGAGAUCUAACGGUAAAAAAUUUACAAGCACCAAAUUCUUGGUGAUUUUAUAAGCACCAUAACCGGACUAUAUAUAUAUAUAUAUAUAUAUAGCAGGACUGCUGUGCUCUCAGAAGCACGGAGGCUUCCGUGCUUCUGAGACGUUUUUGAUGAUUGAAUUUUCGAAUCGACGAUCGGUUCCGUUAGAUUUGAUCUAGCGUAUUUGAAGUUUUUAGAAAAUAAUUUUUAUGAUUUUUGAUAUCAUUUACCUAGCAAUCAAAAGGAUUCAAAAUUAAUACUUUUUAACGGCUGAAAAUAAAAAAUAUUAUAAAAAGUGGUGAUAUAGCACUAAAAUUUUCGAUCAGAAAUAUUGAUCUUGUUGUAGAUAGUAUAAAGAAUUUUGUAUCAAAAUUUCAUCUGAUUUGAAUACUUCUACACCGUUAAACUUGAAAACGGCAGAUAUCAACCAUUAAAAAUUAUUGAUUUUGAACCCUUUCGAUCACUAGGUAAAUGAUAUAAAAAAACCACAAAAAUUAUUUUCUAGAUACUUCAAAUACGCUAGAUCAAGUCUAACGGAGCCAAUUGUCGAUUCGAAAUUUCAUCAUCGAAAACGACUCAGGAGCACGGAGGCCUCCGUGCUCCUGAGAGCACAGCAGU